rnacentral:rRNA from 1 species
AUUGAAUGCUGGCGGCAGGCCUAACACAUGCAAGUCGAGCGGCAGCGGAAAGUAGCUUGCUACUUUGCCGGCGAGCGGCGGACGGGUGAGUAAUGUCUGGGAAACUGCCUGAUGGAGGGGGAUAACUACUGGAAACGGUGGCUAAUACCGCAUAACGUCGCAAGACCAAAGUGGGGGACCUUCGGGCCUCACGCCAUCGGAUGUGCCCAGAUGGGAUUAGCUAGUAGGUGGGGUAAUGGCUCACCUAGGCGACGAUCCCUAGCUGGUCUGAGAGGAUGACCAGCCACACUGGAACUGAGACACGGUCCAGACUCCUACGGGAGGCAGCAGUGGGGAAUAUUGCACAAUGGGCGCAAGCCUGAUGCAGCCAUGCCGCGUGUGUGAAGAAGGCCUUCGGGUUGUAAAGCACUUUCAGCGAGGAGGAAGGCAUCACACUUAAUACGUGUGGUGAUUGACGUUACUCGCAGAAGAAGCACCGGCUAACUCCGUGCCAGCAGCCGCGGUAAUACGGAGGGUGCAAGCGUUAAUCGGANNUACUGGGCGUAAAGCGCACGCAGGCGGUUUGUUAAGUCANAUGUGAAAUCCCCGCGCUUAACGUGGGAACUGCAUUUGAAACUGGCAAGCUAGAGUCUNGUAGAGGGGGGUAGAAUUCC